rnacentral:rRNA from 1 species
GAUGAACGCUGGCGGCGUGCCUAAUACAUGCAAGUCGAGCGAACAGACGAGGAGCUUGCUCCUCUGACGUUAGCGGCGGACGGGUGAGUAACACGUGGAUAACCUACCUAUAAGACUGGGAUAACUUCGGGAAACCGGAGCUAAUACCGGAUAAUAUAUUGAACCGCAUGGUUCAAUAGUGAAAGACGGUUUUGCUGUCACUUAUAGAUGGAUCCGCGCCGCAUUAGCUAGUUGGUAAGGUAACGGCUUACCAAGGCAACGAUGCGUAGCCGACCUGAGAGGGUGAUCGGCCACACUGGAACUGAGACACGGUCCAGACUCCUACGGGAGGCAGCAGUAGGGAAUCUUCGGCAAUGGGCGAAAGCCUGACGGAGAAACGCCGCGGGAGUGAUGAAGGUCUUCGGAUCGUAAAACUCUGUUAUUAGGGAAGAACAAAUGUGUAAGUAACUAUGCACGUCUUGACGGUACCUAAUCAGAAAGCCACGGCUAACUACGUG